ACCGGGCUAUCGCAAUCCUGGUAGCGGUGACCAGUUGCUUCACAAUUCCAGCACACUAAAUUAAGGGCGGCUAUUCCCAUUUCUUCGUCAUCCGAUACCUCGGUUUCUGUUUCACACUCUACCUGACAUUGAACUGCAUUGACAGAUCGGCGCGGCAUCGGCACUGGACGAGAUUUUGGUAAAGCGUGAUUUCCUACUGUUUGUAGGAAGAUCUCUCGAGUUCUGACAAAAUGCCGAAGUUUUGAUAUGCUGAGUAUUUCCUCAUAUAGGAGUUCAUGCUGAAUAUCCAGGCGCAAAUUAGGCCUAAGCGACUCUAAGAGAGAAGAUUCCGACAUGGGAAUAGAGAGCUUAUCCGCAAGAGAAAUGAUUGACUCGUAGAACUCGUCAAAACUUUCUCCAUCUUUUUGUUUGCGUCUAUCGAUGCUCGCUCUUAUCUGUAGGUCGGUUCGUUCGUCCUUGAAUUGACUUUUAAGAGCUUGGCAAAGGCCCUCCCAUUGUACCAUAGGUACACUUUUGUGGUACCGCCAAAACCAUUCGCUUGCGGUUCCUUCAAAAAGGUUGCUGGCAUACCGCGCAAGCAAUUCGAAAUUGCCCUGCAGCGUUUGGGAUGUCAAUGCCUCGACCCGAUAGAUAAAGUCGUCGACGCCUAAAACAGAUUUACCAGAAAAUCGAAGUUUCCAAUUAAAAAUAAUUUGGCUAAUUCGAUCUGGGCGCAAGUCCGAACCAAUAGGAGUAUUUCUAUUUUCCGGCGGUAGACCAUGACCAUUCGAUGGAAACAAGGUAGCAGAAUUUUGAUGGCUGGGAACUCCAGGAUCAGUUUGCUGCCUAAAAGUUGGUGGUGGAGUUGGAUUGGAGCAUUGAACAUACCCAGUAGGAGAUAAUCUCUCGAACCCUGUCUGUAAGGCUUGGAUUAUCAAAUCGGUCUGUCGAGCUGUGGCUUGUGCCAGUAACUCCGACUGACGGGUCGCGGCGGCAGCCAUAGCAUGUGCAAUUAAUUGCUGAAAGUUCUCGUUUGUUGGUGUAUUUACACAGGAGGGUGUAACGCUGUCGUCAGCCAUUAUAUGAGCUGAAGCAGUUGUGUCUCUUUUGGAUUGUGCCCGAGUAGUGGUCCCUGAUCCCGUCGGUUUUUCCGCGGAAGGUUCCUCUAGGUUUCGUUUGCAGGUUGGGCACACUUUCUUAUUUUUAAUCUUUGUAUUAAAACAUACACUGUGAAAAGUGUGUCCACAACUAACUCUUAAUGCCUCCGAUUCAUGGACCACCGGACCGGUACAAAUANAAUUGCUGAAAGUUCUCGUUUGUUGGUGUAUUUACACAGGAGGGUGUAACGCUGUCGUCAGCCAUUAUAUGAGCUGAAGCAGUUGUGUCUCUUUUGGAUUGUGCCCGAGUAGUGGUCCCUGAUCCCGUCGGUUUUUCCGCGGAAGGUUCCUCUAGGUUUCGUUUGCAGGUUGGGCACACUUUCUUAUUUUUAAUCUUUGCAUUAAAACAUACACUGUGAAAAGUGUGUCCACAACUAACUCUUAAUGCCUCCGAUUCAUGGACCACCGGACCGGUACAAAUAAAGCAGGUGACAGCUGAUUUUUUUGCUACAGCGAUCUCCUCACUCUCUCCUAUCGAAAUCAUUUGAUAUACAAUUUUUUUUUUUUUUUCAAAGACAAAAACUUUAAAUAAUUACACAAAAAAAAUUUUAAGAAAAAUUCAAAGCGGCAAAAUUAAAUGAAGGUAAUCUAGUUUUGGGGUCGAUGCGAACGUUCUUCGAGAAUACGUAGGUAAUCCAACCGAUUACUAGUGCUGAUGCAAAGGAUGCUAAGAGAAAGACAGAGGCGUUGGUAUUUGUGCGGACGAUAAUAGCUUAGCGCCAGUUUAUCGUAUCCAGCGACUAUCUACCAACUAUAGGAAACGAACAAGGUAAAUUCAUGCGAAAUGUAUCUAAGCAACGGAAAAAAAGCUAUUUUGAAGCUUUUAUUAAUCCAGUACGCCUAACAAAUGCAUGCUUUUGGGAUGCUAAUUGACUUCAGAUAGGGCUGUGUAUUUAUAUUGAAAUUUACAACAGAUCCACAAUCUGUGCACGAGCAUUUACGGGAAGAAAUUAACAACGAAAUUAAAUAAACCGAAAUGUUCAAUAGUCUGCUGGUCUGACUUUAAGAAAUAAGGGACGGGGCCAUCGAAAUUCGGGCCCCACGUUGGGCGCCAAAUAAUUUUAUGUAUUUAUAUUUACUGUAGUAUGCAACGUUAUUGAGCUGGUGGAAGGUGAUGAGCUUCUACGGGGCACGCGCUUGUUCCGGUAUCGUUAUCAGUCGGGAGAUGGGGGGGGGUUAAGGGAAGGAUCCGCUGCUCUAUCCGCUCGUCUAUAUACAUAAAGUUAUUAAAAUUCGCGUGCGAUGAACAAGUCGGUUUAUGAAACAAUAGUGAAAAGAAACAGACAGAACAGAGACAAAACUCCUAGCUUCCAGACCUUUAUUUUGUGGCGCAAGAUGGAAAUGUGGCCACGAAUGCCCUCCCUUCCAUGAUCGCUAUAAUCCGAUAAAGUUAUACGGCGAUCCCAAAAAAAAGGUCUAUGCCGCAAUACCUCUGCCUACGUUCCCUACACGACGCAUGACCCCCUCAAGUUAAGCGCAGUUAGCAGGAGUUCAUAUUAACGCUUAUAGCUAAAUUUAUUCAACAUCGCAAAACACAUCCAAAAGUAUCGAUUUUACACUAGAUUUCGAAACAACUUAUGUCGAUUUACCCAAAUAAAAAAAAAGGAAAAUAAUAUA
rnacentral:lncRNA from 1 species